rnacentral:lncRNA from 1 species
CUUAAAUGAAUUAAAGCUGAGACAGAGUUAGAAACUGUUGAAAAAUUUACAAAAUUUCAAUGUCCUACCCAAGUCUUGUAGAGACUCCAUUAGAGAGUAGAGAGAUGGGGUUCUAAAGAUUAUGCUAGUGCAGAAGCAGACUCGGGCUGGCCAGUGGACCAGGUUCAAGGUUUUGGUUGCUAUUGGGAUUGCAAUGGUCAUGUUUGUCUUGUUACGUGCUCCAAGGAGGUUGCCUCUGCCAUCUAAAGAAUUAUCACUUUGGCCAAGUUUCCCAUUAUCCCUAUGUGUAGAGGCUACUGGAGGAAGAAGACAGCAAGCUCCACACAGUCCACAUAAGGUGAUAGGCCACUGAGGCUCUGUGCGGGUGGAUUUCAUCCCUGCCCCCAUAGGUACUGGCAUCACCUCUGCUUCUGUGCCCAAGAAGUGGCUGCUGCUGGAUGGUAUUGAUGAUUGCUGCACGUGAGCCAGAGGCUGCACUGCCACCUUGGGUGACUUUGCCAAGACUAUGCUUGAUAACUUUGAUGUCAUUUCUAAGUCCUGCAGCGACCUGACCCUUGACCUCUGGGGGAAAAAUCUGUGUUCCCCAGAAAUUUACUGACCAUCUUGUGAAAGUCUGUAUCAGAGUCUCUGUUCAAAGGAGCCAGGUUCCAGCUUUUGCUAC